rnacentral:lncRNA from 1 species
GGAAAAAUGUUUAUUUGGAGAUUUUUUAUAGAUAAUUAAGGAUUUCAACUUCCCUGAUAUUAACACAUCACCAAAUUCUCCAGUGCUAUAAAGAAAAGGGAGAUACACAAACUAGAACCAAUAAGGGACCCAUCAGGGCAACCAGGUAGAGAGAGAGGCCGAGAGAGAGGCGUAGCGAGAGAGAGAGAGAGGGAGAUGCCCUCAGAGAACGCACAGUUCGGAACGCAAUAGAAUAAGAAAGAGGGUGGCAAGAUGGGGGAAAAGCGGCGAGAUCA